CCUACGGGUGGCAGCAGUGGGGAAUAUUGGACAAUGGGCGAAAGCCUGAUCCAGCCAUGCCGCGUGUGUGAAGAAGGCCUUCGGGUUGUAAAGCACUUUCAGUGGGGAAGAAAGCCUUGGGGCUAAUACCCUCGAGGAAGGACAUCACCCACAGAAGAAGCACCGGCUAACUCCGUGCCAGCAGCCGCGGUAAUACGGAGGGUGCGGGCGUUAAUCGGAAUUACUGGGCGUAAAGCGCGCGUAGGCGGUCUGAUAAGCCGGUUGUGAAAGCCCCGGGCUCAACCUGGGAACGGCAUCCGGAACUGUCAGGCUAGAGUGCAGGAGAGGAAGGUAGAAUCCCCGGUGUAGCGGUGAAAUGCGUAGAGAUCGGGAGGAAUACCAGAGGCGAAGGCGGCCUUCUGGACUGACACUGACGCUGAGGUGCGAAAGCGUGGGUAGCAAACAGGAUUAGAUACCCUAGUAGUC
rnacentral:rRNA from 1 species